AGUGAACGCUGGCGGCGUGCUUAACACAUGCAAGUCGAACGAGAACGGAAUAUAGCUUGCUAUAUUUGUCAGCUAAGUGGCGCACGGGUGAGUAAUAUAUAGGUAAUGUGCCUUCAAGAAGGGGAUAACAGUUGGAAACGGCUGCUAAGACCCUAUAUGCCUUUAAGACAAAAGUCUGCAAGGGAAAUAUUUAUAGCUUGAAGAUCGGCCUGUACGGUAUCAGCUAGUUGGUGAGGUAAUGGCUCACCAAGGCUAUGACAUCUAACUGGUUUGAGAGGAUGAUCAGUCACACUGGAACUGAGACACGGUCCAGACUCCUACGGGAGGCAGCAGUGGGGAAUAUUGCACAAUGGAGGAAACUCUGAUGCAGCAACGCCGCGUGGAGGAUGACACAUUUCGGUGCGUAAACUCCUUUUAUAUCUGAAGAUAAUGACGGUAGGAUAUGAAUAAGCGCCGGCUAACUCCG
rnacentral:rRNA from 1 species